rnacentral:lncRNA from 10 species
GCCAGGCCUCAGAGUUCUUUUUUACAAUGAUUGGACUGUCAUCUCUUCCCACUUGUUUGUUCCAGUUUUAGCUCGUCAGGUUGACUUAUUUGGAGGUUCAAGAUAAUUGACCACUAAGUCUGGUUCUGGAGAAGUUGGGUUUCCACAUGCCUUACAGUACAAGUGUGGCAAUUCAGGAGGUGAUCUAGAAGCAAGGUGUCCUUGCUCACGGAAGAAUGACAGCGGGAGAGAAGAUCGAAAUCACUGCCCAGGUUAAUAAAGCAAUAUGUGAGAUGACAGUCCAAGUUAGAAACCAGCCAAAGCUUGGAACGUGCUUCCUUGGGGAUUUCAUGUUCAUAUCAAUGACUGAUUUGGAAUUCGGAUUUGCCUUUGAAUGUUGGAGAGCAUGGAAUCAUGCAAGGAUCAGCAGACAGAUCCUGGGUGGUGAUCCGUGAUGUCCAGCUACACAAAAGAAAUGAAUGUCUUUUUUUCCCAAAAGAUGAUGUAUUACAAGAGUCACUACUAAAUCAGCAUCUACGUCAACCAAAUACAACCUCUAAAAGAAAAACAAAUAGGAUGAUAUUAAUCCUGGAGAGUUUUAUUUUGUUUAUAAUUUGGGAUAAUUAAGCUUUGAAGUUUCAUGUUUACUCUUUGAGGAAAGUGUGUCUGGGCUUUACCUCAUUUCCUCCAACCCUCUCUCCCUCUCUGCUCCAGAGACCCAGUGUUCUUUCAGCAACUUGAAAUGUGUUUUCUCUUCCACAGAGAAUAGCAAAUGCUAUUUCUACAAAUGGGAUUCUACCUCUCCCUCUCCCUCUCUUCCAGUCUCAUGUUCUGUUUCAUUUCCUCAGGGACUGCUGCUUUACGACUCCAUGGACUGGGUUGCACCCCCCAUUGCUCCCUCUGCCUUCUACUCUACUUUCCCAGUAUUCAAGACACUCAGAAUCCUCUUUAAUGCCUGUCUUUUUCUGAUUAUAAGCAACAUAAGAACCUGCCACACUGGUUUUAUUCACCAAUGGAUCUCUAGUGCCUUAUUACACAAUAAAUACUUUUUGACUAAGUAUUGUUUGAGGAAAAUGUUAUUUCCGGCACAGAGAAAAUAAUAGCAGAGGCAUGAAGAUAUGAAAGUGUGUGGCAUGUGUAAGGGAAUAUUAAAUUAAAAAUGGAUGUUUUCUUUAAGUAAAUGGUUAUCUCUUUCCUAUGUAACUUAAUUCAACUUUACCAUAAUUAAUUUUUAAACAAAUGAAUUCAAUGUGAAAUUAAGCUAAAAUUAACUUACAUUUAUAUUUAUGGAGGUAAAAAUUUAAGCCUAUAUUGCUCAUAGUAUCCUUUUUGUUGUGUAAUUU